UUCAUAAAGACUGAUCUGUUGGUUUAGAAUUUUGUGAAAAAUUGCUGUCUUGUAUUACUCUUCUGUCAUUUUUUCCCUCUCGCCAGCUGAUGUUUCAAGGUUAUUUUCAGCAUACAAAAACCAAAGCAGGACAAGACGUACUGCAAGAGGCACACUUUCCACAUAUAUACACACAUUUUGUUGUCUUUCGCACAAAGAUGCAACUACUGUUCCAAGAAGGGUUGGCAAAGACCAACUCCGAAGAUCGGGGUUGGGUGACAGACGCCUAGUCUUUCGAGGUAACCAAGACAGUUCAACCGAGUUUAUAGAGUUCAUUCUCUCUUCUUAUCCAAAGCUGAGAGAUGGAGGUGGUUUUGAGUUACUGAAGAUUUCCGGAACAACACGAAAUCGGCAUCUCUACCUAAUCCCGUGCCCUAAUCAGGGGUACUGUGUGACAUACCUGAAAGAUCCUGCUCUCCUGAUCAAUCAUUCUACUAUCUACAUUCGCCCGCUCCAAAGAAAUUUGAACAUGGAGAAUGUGUCUAAUGAUGGACCAGUUGACACUGAACCUGGACCCUUGACAGCUUGUCUGAAUUGUGGAGAGGAAUUUCCUUUUUCACAGAUGAGAUCACACAGCGAGGCUUGUUCGAGGCAUUCACAAAGUGAAAUGGAAAAUGAAGAUUCAGCUGUCCCUUCAACUAGUGGGACAUGUGCCUCCACCUCACAGGAUCCAGUUGUAGUUUUGGAAAGUCCAGAGACAAGUUCAGAUGAGGAUAUGCACAGAGAAGGUUUAUAAGAUUAAUUUAAAGGUGCCUUAAGUAUUUGUCUAAAUUAAAGCCUAACAUAGCAUUUUCCUAAAUAUCUGCAAACAUAUGGUAAGUUCACAUACUAGUUUCUUUAAAAAACAAUACAGACAGUUGCUACAGACAGUUAUUCUACUUUGAAAUGUGUGUUACAUGUUGGAAUGUCCGUUAUUGUUUUGGUCCUUA